CUACGGGACGCACCAGUAAGGAAUAUUGCACAAUGGGGGAAACCCUGAUGCAGCAACGCCGCGUGGACGAAGAAGGCCUUCGGGUCGUAAAGUCCUUUUCUGGGGGAAGAGGAAGGACGGUACCUCAGGAAUAAGUCUCGGCUAACUACGUGCCAGCAGCCGCGGUAAAACGUAGGAGGCGAGCGUUAUCCGGAUUCACUGGGCGUAAAGGGCAAGUAGGCGGUUGUUUAAGUUAGGUGUGACAUCUCUCGGCUUAACUGGGAGGGAGCGCUAAAACUAGGCAACUAGAGGGCGGAAGAAGGGGGUAGAACUCCAAAUGUAGCGGUGGAAUGCUCAGAUAUUUGGAAGAAUACCAGUGGCGAAGGCGACCCCCCGGUCCGUGCCUGACGCUGAGAGGCGAAAGCUAGGGUAGCGAACGGGAUUAGAUACCCUUGUAGUC
rnacentral:rRNA from 1 species